rnacentral:rRNA from 1 species
AUCAGUGGCCAUACCUCCUGCAGUUCAGACUAGGUAAUCCUCCUGAAGUUAAGCAGGUUUGGGCCUGGUCUGUAUUUAGAUGGGAGACCAACUAGGAAAGCUGGGUUUCUCUGAGG